UGCUAGCGUUGCUCGGAAUCACUGGGCGUAAAGCGCACGUAGGCGGAUCUUUAAGUCAGGGGUGAAAUCCUGGAGCUCAACUCCAGAACUGCCUUUGAUACUGGGGAUCUCGAGUCCGGAAGAGGUGAGUGGAACUCCGAGUGUAGAGGUGAAAUUCGUAGAUAUUCGGAAGAACACCAGUGGCGAAGGCGGCUCACUGGUCCGGUACUGACGCUGAGGUGCGAAAGCGUGGGGAGCAAACAGG
rnacentral:rRNA from 1 species